rnacentral:tRNA from 1 species
GUAAAUAUAGUUUAAUAAAAACAUUAGA